UACAGAGGUCCCAAGCGUUGUUCGGAUUUACUGGGCGUAAAGGGUGCGUAGGGGGUGGGGUAAGUUUGAGGUGAAAGCUCCGGGCUCAACCCGGAAACUGCCUUGAAAACUAUCCGGCUAGAGGGUUGGAGGGGAGACUGGAAUUCUCGGUGUAGCAGUGAAAUGCGUAGAUCUCGAGAGGAACACCAGUGGCGAAGGCGGGUCUCUGGACAACACCUGACGCUGAGGCACGAAAGCCAGGGGAGCAAACGGG
rnacentral:rRNA from 1 species